rnacentral:rRNA from 1 species
GACGAACGCUGGCGGCGUGCCUAAUACAUGCAAGUCGAGCGGACCAAACAGGAGCUUGCUCUUGUUUGGUUAGCGGCGGACGGGUGAGUAACACGUGGGUAACCUGCCCGUAAGACCGGGAUAACUCCGGGAAACCGGAGCUAAUACCGGAUAACACCGAAGACCGCAUGGUCUUUGGUUGAAAGGCGGCUUCGGCUGCCACUUACGGAUGGGCCCGCGGCGCAUUAGCUAGUUGGUGAGGUAACGGCUCACCAAGGCGACGAUGCGUAGCCGGCCUGAGAGGGUGACCGGCCACACUGGGACUGAGACACGGCCCAGACUCCUACGGGAGGCAGCAGUAGGGAAUCUUCCGCAAUGGACGAAGGUCUGACGGAGCGACGCCGCGUGAGCGAAGAAGGUCUUCGGAUCGUAAAGCUCUGUUGUUAGGGAAGAAGAAGCGCCGUUCGAACAGGGCGGCGCGGUGACGGUACCUAACGAGAAAGCCCCGGCUAACUACGUG